AAGAAGGGGGGGAAGGCCAGACGAAUGUGGAAAAUGGAAACUUCCUGACGGAAGGCAGUUACUUCAUAAGUCACUCACCAGAAAAAUAUUAGAAAACAUGCAUCAAAAACUCAUUGGGGUACUAAGGCUUUGUGUGAUCACUUUCUAAGGAAUUAUGGGUGCAUUGGAAUCUAUGGGUUGGCUAAACAAAUAACUGAAAGAUGUAUGGUUUGCCAAAAAGUAAAUAAGAAGGUGAUGAGAAAAACAACUCCAGGAGGUCGUGAGUUGGCUCUCCGACCAUUUCAAAGUAUCCACGUGGACUUUACUGAAGUCCCCCAAGUGCAGAGGUGGAAAUUCUUGUUAGUAAUAACAGACCAUCUUACCCAUUGGGUGGAAGCUGUUCCCAGUGUCAGAGCCACAGCCAAUGUAGCAUGUAAAACCCUCUUAGAACAAAUUAUUCCCAGGUAUGGAAUGAUUACUAAGAUAGACACACUUUACAUCAAAAGUUUUACAGCAGCUAACUCAAGCCUUAAGAAUAAAAUGAGAACUCCAUAGCCCACGGCAGCCACAGAGUUCAGGACGGGUAGAGAGGAUGAAACAAACUUUAAAGAGAACCUUAACUGAAUUAAUAAUUGAAACUCAAAUGUCAUGGGUAAAAUGCCAACCUCUGGCUUUAUUGAGAGUUCAGACACAACCAGGUCAGACCUGAGAGUGUCACCUUACGAAAUGAUGGUUGGUGUUGAAGAUGAAAGUUUGGUAAGAAAGUUUUGCAGAUGCGUGGGCUCGGCCGAGAGAUCUCUGAGUGUGGAGCCUGAGGAUGGGACAGAAAUGGAAGCAGGUUUUGAUGUAGAGUGGAAGAUGUUUGCUGAAACAUUGAUCACUGAAUGGGUGAGAGGACAAAGGUUGGAGGUGAGCUGGAAGGAGAUUUUUGUGCUUAGGACAGAGGUAUGUGACUGCAAACAAGGACAUGUUUUUCACCGGGUGGGGGGGGUCUCAGGAAGAGCAGAAGUAAAUAGAAAACAUGUUUUUGCCAGGAAGAGCUAUGGCAGGCAGACAAAGAAUGUUGAUGAGGCAGGAAGAAGAGAGGUCUGAGAGUGUUCCAUUGUGAGCUUGAAUUGUAGCUUGCUGCUCUUGUGAUUGGAUGGUGGUGACUCUGGGGUUCUAUAGGAUAUGUACAGUACAGUGGUGGCAGUACCUAAGAUAGGCUAUAGGCAAAUGUAAAGGUGUUGUGUCUGGUGCUUGUUGGUUGUUAUGUCUUGGGAUACUCAGCAAAGAAAGGUGUACAGUGCUCUCUUGAACAGAAAGCGGCUUCAGUUAUGCCUACAAGCUGUGGCUGACAGCUGUGGGGCUGGCUCUGGAUACCCACUCCCUGAAAUGCUUUUGUGACUUUUCCUAUGCAAUAAACAGCUUUCAAGAGAGCUGCCUGAAGUCCAGACAUCCUUCAUGAACCCUUUUCCUAUAGUUUGGGUUACCCUUUUUGAACACCCAGAAUGAAACUGCUACCUAUGAAUUAGGGGAAUGAGCAUUACAGAAUAUGUCAACACAAUUGCAAGGACCCUUGAAGAUUUGCGGUUCAAAGGGAUAAUCCCUCAAACCACUCCUUUAGACUUUAAAAUCCGUAACAUCCAUCCAGGGGAGUGGGUGUUAGUAAAAACAUGGAAGGAGCAAUCUUGAGCUGCACAAGGGAAAGGUCCUUUUCAGGUGCUACUGACAACUGAGGCAGCGAUCCGGGCCAAGGAGCGAGGGUGGAUCCACGGCAGCAGAAUCAAAGCACCCGUGCAGGAACCUAAGGAGUGGACUAGAACAUCUAAGCCUGGGGAUACCAAGCUCCAGACUCUUGGGGACUCAGGAUCAUUUGGACACCGCUGGCCAAGGACCCCCAUCCCUCCCUCUCUGGGGGUGUGAAACAGCCCCAAACUUUCACAGCAUCAUCCCAAGGCUGUCCAUCAGUCUCUGGGGGCACAGAUCCCCCACGAGGCUCCUCUCCAGGACACCCCAUCCCACCCAUCAGCUCGGGAGCUCCCACUCCACAUCCCAGGAAUCCAUGGAGCCCUGAUGAUGGAUUGCCCAGGGAUCUGUGGCUCAGAAGAUGGCACUGUUUGUGGGAGGAAGGUUCCAGGAGGUUAUUCCAGGAAUUAACAUCACUGUGUCCAAGGUCUGGCAGUGACUUUGCAGGCAAUUAAUCCCACGAGGUGAAUUAAUGCCACGCUCUCCACAGAUGAGUUCUGAAGGAAAAAGGGCCUGAUUGGCUGAACCAGAUCCAGUAAAGUAAAUGGGAUGUGGGAUCAGCUGGGUUUUAGGGGCUGCUCCAAGCUCAUGGAGCAAGAGCUGCCAGGAGGACACGGUCACCCAACCUUGGGAUAUCCCUCUGGAGGUGUCCAACCCCAUCCCACCUCUGGGUCGGGCUCUGGGGCAGCACCAGGAAUUGUUGGUACAAAGGUGGCUGGGAGGAGCAGGGAUUUGUCACUGGGGUGCAAAUGAGCUGCUUGUUUAGGAAUGUUUGGAAAAAUUCCUCUUUGGAGAGCUCAGGAAGGAGAACUUGGCCUUUGUGUGGCAUCAGGAACGUCCUGCUCCUGGUAUGCAAAUAUUGUUCUCUGUGGUAAAAUCCUUCCCACCUCUUCUGUAAAAAAUCUCCCCCAAAAAUCUUGUAGCUUCCCACCAGCUGCACUGAAAACAGCAAAACGUGACCUAAAUAAAUAAAUCUGAUAUUCCAUAAAGCACAGACCCUCCUCAAAGUGAAAUUUGCUGAACCAUGGUUGUGACUUCAUUUUUUAUCAGUGGAUUAUUUACAGGAUUUACUGUAUUUGUAUGACAACAUUCAUCAAAUCAACAUUCCUCUGGGAUUGGUUGUUACUUACUUUAGGAUUUUUAUUUCUAUUUUUAAUUGCAGAGGAAAAGGUGUGUUAAAAAAAUACUGGGAAGAGAAGAUGUGGUUUUGGGAGUUACUAGGAAAUUCAGGGUGAGGAUGUACAAUUAAAAUACUGUUGGUUUGGUUCUCAUGGUUGGGGGGCUGAACCUUGAGUGGGAUUUAUGAUGAUAAUAUGUGAGGAACACAUCAACAGAACAGGAAAUGGAAAAAUUGGCUGCAAACUGCUGUUUUCUAGAACUUCUUCUGUGGCUGCAUCUCUGUGCCAUACGUAAUUCUGGAUUAUUUGUUAUCUCAUUACUUGUUAGGGCUGUUCUACUUUCAGAUUCUCUGACCAGGCAGAAAUAGCUGUUUAAAAUGUGCAAAAAAAAGGGCAACAUCUUAUGGCAAAAUUUCACUGGGGUUUUGUUGAGGGUCAUUUACCUGUGCAGUGAAACAAAUCCCACUUCUCCUGGGUUAAAUGCAAGGCAGCCACAGUCAAAGGUCAGGAACUGACCAAUAUCAGCAAUAUUUGGUCUUAAUGAAAUCAGAUUUUCUUUCAGCUGUUGGUUCAUUUUUAGGCCACUUGAAAAAUCAUAGAAUGGUUUGGGCUGUAAAGGACAGAGUUCAUGAAGAGUUCAGCCUCUCCAUGGCAGAGUUAAACCAAGUGUUAAAGGUGAGCAGAGAGGGAUUCCAAGUGAUGGCAGCAGCCCAGAGAGUGGAGGUCCAGAUCAUCCCUGUUGUCCUCCAGCAGAUCCUGCAGGACAAGGAUGGAGAGCCAAGGACACUUCCAGUGGGGUUUGGGAAUCCUCGUCGUUCUCCAGCACCAGCUGCAGGAAGGAGGUUGGUGUUGUACCUCUGACACCACCACCGAGAGUUCUUCCAAUAUUUUGAUGAAGUUUGGGUGGGAAUCAAGGAGGCCAAGCUGGCAUCCUUGGCUGAGCAGAUACCCUGCUCCCAGGAUCCCAGCCCGCAGCCUUCUCUGUGAUCCAUGGAGAGACAAAUGGGUUUUGUCCCUGUGCCAGCACAGGAAACCUCAGCCAAUCUGGCAAUAAUUCCCAGAGUGUGAUGGAAACGCUCACAAGGACUUCAGGCCCCAAGCAGGGCCUUGAGGAGACAUCCCCUGCGCUGCCCUUGCAUUAAAAGUGCAUUUUGCACUAAUUAAUAACCCAUUAAUAACAGAUGGGAAACAGCAGCCCUCCCUAAUCAAUAGUGGGGUUUCUUUGGGAUCUGGGACAGCAGCAGGUGCUGCUCCUCGAGCACUUCCCUCUCUGCAGGGAAACUGCUGCAGGACUCCCAAGAUGUCCCCAGGGACACCACGAGAAACGGUUGGGAAUUGGGUGACAAAUGUGGUGGUUUUGGUAAAUAUGGAGAAGGAAUCCUUCUGUUUCUGCAUUCUUUCCUCCCAAACACAAAAGUGUUUCCUGUUCUACAGCCACACAAACCCCACCACUGACAUGCCUUCCAUGAACUGACUUGUGGGAGAUUCCUGCUAUUUUUUUGGGCCAAAUAUUCCUAAACAAGCAGCUCAUUUGCAUAUAAUUAAUUAAUUUUUUCAUUAAAUUAAUGAAAUAUUAUUUGUUUGCAUUUUUCCUCGGUAAAAAGCAGAUGCUGCACCCUCAGAAUCCCACAAACCAAAGACACUUCGUAUCAACAGGUUUGAACACUAGAAAAUUUAAAUACUUCAUACCCAAAUUCCCUGAAGUCAAAUAGGAAAUAAAAUAAGAAAUAAAAUAGGAAAUAGAAAUACAAUAUACAGAACUUUAGGAUACUUUUACAUCCUCUUUUAUAGAACAUUUCUUUUUAUACCACACGUUCUCUAAGCCUGGCAGGUCAGGAAAUAGAGGAAGUGGAAAAUGGAAGUCUGUUAUGUCUGAAAAAGUUAUUUUAGGUGGGUUUAGAUAUUUCUGAAAGGCAAUAACUAUAAUUUGGGUUUGUUUUAGUUUUGGAGGUCAGAGUAUUAAAAUUGGCUGAAGUUUUAAGUGGAUGGAGGUGGAACAUGGUACCAGGAACACAUUAAGCACUCCAGAAUGGCUGCUCUGAAAAACAAACUGCAUAUGCAGAAUAGAUAAUCCCAGAAUUCAGAAUUUCACUCUUUCCCAAUUUUUAUUUUAAGUAAGGGCAGUUUCUUCCCACAUCUGCUAGUCCAGGAGAAACCAGACUGAUGCUUUUGGGGCAAACCACGCCCAUUUCAAUCAGAUUUGUCAGAAAUGCUUUGUUGGGGUGAAUUUCUGUGUUUAUAUCUCCCAAGCAGCCCCUGCUCUC